CUGAUGGGUGGGACUAUGUUCCCCGCUGUGUGAGGCUCUCACUCCCUGGUGGCAUUUAGAGGGCUAGAUUCCAGAUUGUGCAGCAACACCUCCCAUCAGCUCAGUCCCUCCUCUGUUCUCUCUGAGGACAGGGAAACUACAACCAUGUAGGUCCUCAUGCUAAGGACAAUGUUGACCAGUCCUGGUGCUCAUCCUCCAGAAGACUGUGUUUUCCAUACCACCUCACUGUUUAGGGGGCUGGCCAAGCUCCGGAUGAUGGGCUGCAGGCCACUUCUAGGCCUGCCCCAUAAAACCUGGAGCUAGAGAUAAUUGUGGCUUGUGAUUUCACCAGGACCUGUCCACUUUCUCUGAAAAUAGCUAGUUGGUGGGGCCUCCCCUGCAUCCAGAACGCGAGCCUCAGGAGAGUCCAAGAUUGGCCAUCAGCGUUCAGCCUCUGCAAGUGGAAAGAGGGUGGGAGGCAGGUGGAGAGAGCAUAUCUAAGAUGCUUGCCUCAUCCACCCUGUGACUGCUUCGUAGCCACAUGCAUCCUUCCCUUCAGCUUUGAAAAGGUGGGGACAGGAUGGACGAUGCAGACGUGCUCAUGGGCUGGUGGCUCGCAUAUGCGCACACACAUGGACAUUAUGUGA
rnacentral:lncRNA from 1 species